GCCGGCGUAGCUCAGUGGUAGAGCAGCUGAUUCGUAAUCAGCAGGUCGUCGGUUCAAUCCCGACCGCCGGCUCCA
rnacentral:tRNA from 11 species